GAUGAACGCUAGCGACAGGCUUAACACAUGCAAGUCGAGGGGCAGCGAUAGUUGUAGCAAUACAAUUAGUCGGCGACCGGCGCACGGGUGAGUAACACGUAUGCAACCUACCCAUAACAGGGGGAUAAGCGGAAGAAAUUCCGUCUAAUACCGCGUAACACAUAGUUGAGGCAUCUCGAUAAUGUAAAAGAUUUAUCGGUUAUGGAUGGGCAUGCGGCGCAUUAGCUAGUUGGCGGGGUAACGGCCCACCAAGGCGACGAUGCGUAGGGGUUCUGAGAGGAAGGUCCCCCACAUUGGUACUGAGACACGGACCAAACUCCUACGGGAGGCAGCAGUGAGGAAUAUUGGUCAAUGGGCGAGAGCCUGAACCAGCCAAGUAGCGUGCAGGACGACGGCCCUAUGGGUUGUAAACUGCUUUUAUAUGGGGAUAAAGUGAGUUACGUGUAGCUUAUUGCAGGUACCAUAUGAAUAAGGACCGGCUAAUUCCGUGCCAGCAGCCG
rnacentral:rRNA from 1 species